rnacentral:misc_RNA from 1 species
UCACCGCCGUUCCCAGUAAACUUUGCCGUAAAACGACGUCGUUUCAGACUAAAAAUCAAAGCAGUAGAUUUUCUCGAAAGCUUACGCCAAUGUUGCCUGGCGGCGCUUUACAAGAUAUUUCUCUCAUCUGUGCUGUGUUUUGUGUUCUGAAGUUCUGGAUAAUAUCUCUGUUUUUCUUUCAUUUCUAUCUACAAAAUUUCUCCACCCUCACACAAUAAUGAUAAAAUCUUAACAUAUACUCUCUUAAAUUCAUCUCUAGAUGUCUCUGACCCCUCUAGCAAUUUUCCAUUUUGACCAUUUUUUGAGCCCUUAAUUUUCCAUUUUUCUGAGCUUCACUACCUCACUCUCUGUUUCUGUUACUUUCCCGCUAUAAUUUCGACACCAUGGCUGCGCUUCUCAGAUCGAGAACUUCCAAGGAAACGGCCUCUUUUACAGCCUAUCAAUUCAGAAGUUUCUUAUUCAAUUACAUGUAUGCGGGUGGCAUGUCUAGCUCUUACUGCACGCAACCUAGAAAAUGGGAUGACCACUUCUCCAACUCUCCCUAUCACUCCACUUCUUUCAAGCCCGUCUCUCUGCGCGGUGAAUUCGAUGAGAAGGUUACUCAAUUAUUGGAUAAUAGGAGGAGUAAACGUGAUUCAAGUAAGGAUUUUGGGAGAAAUUGGGGCGAGAAAUUGAAUGGUAGGGAUAGUGGGUCCAAUUAUAGGGAUCCACCAGAGGUGUGGCAGCCUCCGGGAGAUGGGAUUGCAACAGUUGGGGUAAACGAAGCCGCAGUGAAUGUAGUUCGUGGAGGUAGAGGUGAUUCUGGGUCGAAUUCGAAAGAUGGGUGCUGGGGUGGAUCCAAUUUGGGUAAUAAUUUUCCAACACCAAAAGAGAUCUGUAAGGGACUGGAUAAAUUUGUGAUUGGACAAGAACGAGCUAAAAAGGUUCUUUCUGUUGCAGUUUACAAUCACUAUAAGAGAAUCUAUCAUGAUUCCAUUCAAAAGUGGUCUGCUGGAGAUUCAGGGAACAGCAAAGCGGAUGCUGUGGAUGAUGAUGGAGUGGAACUUGAGAAAAGUAACAUUCUUCUAAUGGGACCAACAGGCUCAGGACAGGGAAGACAUUACUUGCCAAAACCUUGGCGCGGUUUGUUAAUGUUCCUUUUGUUAUUGCAGAUGCAACUACAUUGACCCAGGCAGGAUAUGUGGGGGAAGAUGUGGAGUCCAUAUUGGGCAAGCUACUAAUGGCUGCUGACUAUAAUGUGGCAGCUGCCCAGCAGGGCAUUGUAUACAUCGAUGAAGUUGACAAGAUCACAAAAAAGGCUGAGAGUGUUAACAUUAGCAGAGAUGUGUCAGGUGAGGGUGUUCAGCAGGCAUUAUUAAAAAUGCUCGAGGGAACGGUGUGUAUUUGUUUUGCAUAAACUGUAGGAACAAUUUCAUUUAAUAAUCGUGUAUCACUCCAUUGGCACAUGAUGUUAUUAUGAUGCAAUAGAAAAAGCCAGAUGACCUAUUUGUUUUAUAUGUUUAUGAGUUUAGCAGAUUAGACAAAAUUUCAACCCAGUCAUAGAUGGAAAAAUUAGCUUAUUGAAUUAUGGCUUUUUUCUAAUCUGGGUGAGUUUAUGGAUUCAUAUAUUUACACUCAUGAUCAAUUGCUUGAUUUAGGUUGUCAAUGUUCCUGAAAAGGGAGCUCGAAAGCAUCCAAGAGGUGAUAAUAUUCAGAUUGAUACGAAGGAUAUACUCUUCAUAUGUGGAGGUGCAUUCAUUGACUUGGACAAAACCAUUUCUGAAAGGCGCCAAGAUUCUUCCAUUGGGUUUGGUGCGCCUGUACGUGCAAACAUGAGGGUUGGUAAUGUUACUAGUGCUGCUGUGACAUCAUCUUUAUUGGAGACUGUAAGUUCACAACAGUCUUCGAUCAACAAGUAACAGCUGAUAGCUUUUUUUCCUUUUUAAUGUUUUCUUUUUCUUCCCUUCUGUUUAGCUUUAUGUUGUUCAUAUACUGUACGAAUUCUUAUCUUUGGCAGGUUGAAAGCAGUGAUCUUAUAUCAUUCGGUUUAAUACCUGAAUUUGUUGGAAGAUUUCCUGUCCUUGUGAGUUUGUCAGCUCUUACUGAGAAUCAACUUGUACAGGUAAUAUAUUGAAAUGAUUUUCUUCUUGUAGGUAUAAUAUAUGCAUUUUUUUGUUUUGAUGCUUCUAUAUCCUAGAUGAAAUCAUGGAGAAAGUUGAAAUUAAUUAAUAAUUAGUAAAUAGACAUCAUGAUAAGAAAGAGUCCAAUGCUUAUAUUGCACCUAUGGUCUUAUGUUAUCCAAUAUUCGUAAUGGAAUGGAUACUAGUUUAUAUAGAGCAAUGGUACGAAUGUUCAAAAUUUUCUGUUACCAUGGAAUUAUUUUUCAUGGAAAUCUUGUAACUGAUGCACUUGGCACUAUUUGUUUAUACUCCUGAAAAAUUACUCGAGUCUUUAAAAGUCUAAGCAAUAUCACUGUUUAUUUGGUGUGAUUGAUGGCUAAUGAUGUUUUGAAGGUUCUGUCAGAGCCAAAAAAUGCCCUUGGGAAGCAAUAUAAGAAGAUGUUUCAAAUGAAUGGUGUUAAGUUACAGUUCACAGAAAAUGCUUGCAGACUAAUUGCUAAAAAAGCAAUAAUGAAAAAUACUGGGGCUCGAGGGUUGCGGUCCAUACUAGAAACUAUCUUGAUUGAUGCUAUGUAUGAGGUAUUUUACUUCUUGCCUGUUUUCAGAAUAUUCCUAAUUCUGUGCAAAGACUUGCCUGUAGGAUUACAACUACAUGGCUAUUGUUGAAGGAUGAGGUGGUUAGGCAAAUGACACAAAACGAACACUACAUGUCUCUAUGGGAUAUUUGAGCCGCAACACAAAAUUAAUACUGCAUGUCUAUGUGGAUCAUUUUGAGCCAUAAUAUGCUAAGAAGAUAUGGACCUGUAUUUGUAGAAAGAGAUGGGUUUUCAGCUAAAAAUUCUUGGAAACCUGGAUCUCUUAGUUUGUUACAUUUUCCAGCUGUCUAGGAUCCUGUUAUAUGCCAAUUUCUUUAGUAGCAUAUAAUCCUAAGGAAGUUGCAGAUUAAAACUUAAAUCUUGGCAUUUGUUUUGGGGGAGGUGGGAGGGUUGAAUGUCCAUCAGAUGGAGUGGACUGAUGGUGACUCUCAUGGGGACCAAAAACGAGAAGAAUCCUGAUAUAUAUGAAUAGGUCGACUCCCAGGCCCAGCAUUUUGUGGACAGUGUACAUGCUAUUUUAGCUCUGAACCAUUGGGAAUUGCUUUUUUAUUUAGUUGGGUUAUCUCACUUUUGACCUGGGAAUUGUGCAUUUUUUUUUUUCUUCAAUAUCUUUCCUCUAAUUCUUUUCCCAGAACCCUGUAAAUUUCAUUCUCUGCUAACCUAAGCAGAAGUCUCGGGUUCUUUUUUGUUUUCAGCUUGGUCAUGAUUUUUACCAGUAACGGGUGCAUCUUUUACUUGAUAAUCUCACAUUUUUAUUGCUCAUUUUAUAUUUAAAAAUGAUACCGGGAUCACCAUUUUCUGAUAAUAUAGCUUCUUAUCUUUUAAUUUUUGUGUAGAUUCCUGAUGUUAGAACAGGUGAAGAUAUUAUAGAUGCUGUUGUAGUUGAUGAAGAGUCAGUAGGUUCGGAGGGACCUGGAACUGGAGCCAAGAUCCUCUAUGGAAAGGGUGCAUUGGAUCGUUAUCUUUCCAAACACAAAUCAGAGACGACUGUGGACGGUUUUGAUGGAGAACCAGAGGCUGAAACUGAGCUUUCUUCCAUAGUUGCUAGCAUGUAAUCUGUUAAUCUUAUUUGUAGCUUUAUCCAUGUACAUAAUAACUUCACAUUAAUUAAAUAAAUUUAAAGAUGCAAUUACGAUACACAUUGUUGAUUCCUCGGAACUGUGCAGCACUUGAUUCAUUUGAGCCCCAGUUGGGGCCACAUAUUGUAAUUGUACAUGUAUUAAAUUUGGCAGCCCGAUUGAUGAGCUUACUGUUGUUUAGCAUCCCUUGUUUUCAUUAUUUU